GAGGCUCAUCUGGGUGGUUCUCUAUCAGCUACCCCAGUGUGUGCUUACGUAUCAGACAGGCAUCCCAAGCUGUGGCAACACUAGUUGUUUUAGAGGGAGAGCUGAAGGACGCUGGCUGAAAAGGAGGGCAAUGCUCCAUUUCUGAAGGAAAAGCCAUUCGCUGCAGGAAUCCAAGAGAGAAAGGGUAUUUACCUCCUUCAAGGAAUUUGACCUACAUCCAAACAGCACUCACACAACUAGGACAGGCAGCUGCCAUUUCCACUCAGACCUUUGCAAGUCCAACACAAUCUAAUGGGCAGAAGGCGGCCUGAUCCCAGAUUGCUUAACAGUGCCUGGAGGGGCUGAUUCACCAAAGUUCGAUGCUCUGAUGAACAGCUUGCUGCAGCUCUAAUGGAGAAUGGCUGAUUCUGCCAGAAUUCUUUGAAAGUUUGUUUUCAAGACUUUUUUUUUUCCCAAGCUUUAAUAAAUUGUUGGAUUUAUCCAUUUUUCUUCUUGC
ensembl:lncRNA